GAUGAACGCUAGCUACAGGCUUAACACAUGCAAGUCGAGGGGCAGCAGGGAUUUAGCUUGCUAAAUCCGCUGGCGACCGGCGCACGGGUGCGUAACGCGUAUCCAACUUUCCCGUUACUCAGGGAUAGCCUUCCGAAAGGGAGAUUAAUACCUGAUGGUGUUUGAAAUCCGCAUGUUCUUCAAACUAAAGAUUUAUCGGUAACGGAUAGGGAUGCGUGACAUUAGAUAGUAGGCGGGGUAACGGCCCACCUAGUCUACGAUGUCUAGGGGUUCUGAGAGGAAGGUCCCCCACACUGGAACUGAGACACGGUCCAGACUCCUACGGGAGGCAGCAGUGAGGAAUAUUGGUCAAUGGUCGGAAGACUGAACCAGCCAAGUAGCGUGAAGGAUGAAGGUUCUAUGGAUUGUAAACUUCUUUUAUACGGGAAUAAAACAUCCCACGUGCGGGAUCUUGUAUGUACCGUAUGAAUAAGCAUCGGCUAACUCCGUG
rnacentral:rRNA from 1 species